rnacentral:rRNA from 1 species
AACGAACGCUGGCGGCAUGCCUAACACAUGCAAGUCGAACGAGACCUUCGGGUCUAGUGGCGCACGGGUGCGUAACGCGUGGGAACCUGCCCUUAGGUUCGGAAUAACUCCCCGAAAGGGGUGCUAAUACCGGAUAAUGUCUUCGGACCAAAGAUUUAUCGCCUUUGGAUGGGCCCGCGUUGGAUUAGCUAGUUGGUAGGGUAAAAGCCUACCAAGGCGACGAUCCAUAGCUGGUCUGAGAGGAUGAUCAGCCACACUGGGACUGAGACACGGCCCAGACUCCUACGGGAGGCAGCAGUGGGGAAUAUUGGACAAUGGGCGAAGGCCUGAUCCAGCAAUGCCGCGUGAGUGAUGAAGGCCUUAGUGUUGUAAAGCUCUUUUACCCGGGAUGAUAAUGACAGUACCGGGUGAAUAAGCUCCGGCUAACUCCGUG